rnacentral:tRNA from 1 species
GCUCCAAUCGUCUAGUCCGGCCAAGGACAUCGGCUUCUCAAGCCGGUAACCCGGGUUCGAAUCCCGGCUGGAGCA